ACUAGCGAAGUAAACACAAAGUCAUUACAAUAAAAGAAACGUGUACAAAAUAUUGUAAUUUAAAAGAGAGGCAGGAAAUGAUUCUAAAAUUUUAAUUUUACUCUGAUGUAAUAAUCCUUCCUAGAAAUUGCUUAUGAUAAAGAACGUAAUUAGAUAUGAAUUAGAAGAUAUAUAUUAAUUAAUUUAAAGCAGUGGCUAAUUGAUUCCAAGGUUUUGGAAUUAUUUUGAUUAAUUCCAAGGUUGAUGAAGAAAAGAAGAAAAACGGAAAGAAGAUAAAGGGGAAGAUGUAUAAAUUGGAGAUAUGUUCUCUUCAAGUUGAUUGCUUCGAGAGAGGGAACUGCGAAUCUGAAUAGAGCCGGUUGACCAGGCGAAAGGCAUUUGAAAUCUCUCGCUCAGGAAAAAUCGCGCGCGUCCUUGAAACCGGUUCGAUAAACCUGAAUCGCAUGAAGGACACACUCGGCCCUUCGGUUUUUCCCCAGGGUUCGGCGCGACCGAAACUCACCACGAGACUCUCGCUCUCCUUCGGAGCUGAGAAAACCGGCUGACGAUGAUAGAAAGAGAAAGAGUGGGUUCAGUGUCUGGUGUGCGUGGCAUCAACGGUGAGCAACAUCCUUUCCUCCAGGUUUUCCAAAAAGUAAAAAAUUUCGCGAGAGACUUCAGCGUCUCGAAGAGCGAAGCGCGCGUAUUCAACUGAGAAUCGCCGUCUCGUGGCGGCGUGAACGAAAGCUGAUCGUUUUUUCCGUGUUUCAUAGAAACGAAACACGAUCGACCACACCGCUCGACGCUGUCUCCGUCACUGCCAGUCGCUCACAGUCACUUGAGUCGCUGCCGCCACCACCGUCGUCGUCACCGUUUCGCUCCGCCUCCGUUCGCGCACCCCACCGCGAGUUCCACAUGUCGUGCGUCCACGAGCGCAUGCUUCCGCGAAAUGUUAUCAAACCGAAGGUCAGAACCGCGAGAUUUUGGAUCAUCGAUUUGAUAAAAGAACGACGAACGCGAUAAUAAAUAAGAUAUAUGAAUGAUGUGACCCAACAUUCUACUUUUGAGGCGAUUGUCUUAUUAAAUAUUAAAAGUUUCAAUUUUAGCGAAAAGAUUCUACUAAAAAAAUAUUUUAUAAAUUUUGCCAAAUUAUGAUGGUAAACCUAACAUUAAAAUGACGAAAUUGUCCAGCUUUGGAUUAGAAAAUAUUUGGUCACAUUAUGUACAAGAGAUUUUUGUUAUUUUUUUAUUACAUGCGAUUAUCAAAAAUCAUCUUUGAACACUAGUUGAAGAAAUUUAAUUUGUAUUCAAAAAGUUACAAUGGUUCUUAUCAAAUUAUAUCCAUGAUUUAAUCUGU